rnacentral:tRNA from 1 species
GGGCCGGUGGUCUAGUGGUUAUGACGCCACGCUUACACCGUGGAGGUCGGGAGUUCGAAUCUCCCCUGGCCCA